rnacentral:sRNA from 1 species
AUUUUUUAUUCACUAAAUCACACACAUAUCACAAACUAAACAUCGGGGUGCUGUUUUUCUAUUAAGAGAAACGGUCGAUGACUUAGGAUAUGUGGAGGCAAAAC